rnacentral:lncRNA from 10 species
AGUCAACCAGCCCCAAAUUCUCCCCAACAGAUGACUUCUCAGUGAGCCUGGAAUUCCAAACAUUGAGUAGCAGAACAAAGCAGAUGACAAAUGAUGUGUGCCAGAGAGGAUUCCUCGGGGGAGACUGGGCUCGGCCAAGAGGCCUUGUGAGAUAAAGGAGGGGAGAAAUGAGGACACUGAAGAUUUACAGAGACGAUUCCUUCAUAGCCCUGCCCCACGGAAUGCUCGGGUCCCCAGGCCAAUAGGCUUCUGUUCCAGAUGCCAGCAGGGAGUGCCGAUUCUUCCCAGGUGGUCAGGAGCCCCUGCUGCCCGGGGCCUCACCCUGGCUUCAUCAGCAAGGCAGGCACAUGGCGGGGGGACUGACCCCUGUCCAGGAGCUGCCUGCAGGGAGGAGCGGCCUGGGGACUUUCUUUUGAAACAAGAUGAAAACUCUGAUGAAAUGAAUCAGUUAACAGAGAGAAAAAUGGCAAUGGGUAUAUGGCAAGGAGUAAAUAUCCUCCAUAUAGAAAGAGCUCUUAUAAAUCAAUGAGGAAAAAACAAAUCCAUUUAAAAUUUUAAAAUAAUAUACACUGGCAAUCAGCCAAAGAAAAAAUGCAAACAGCUGUCCAUCCUAACUCACAAUCCAUGACACCAGCUUGCUCGAGGCACAGGCCAACUGCCAGGCGGCAGGGAUUUACAAGUGUGGCAACACCCUGCUGUCAGGGUGAGGAGGCGGGCACACCCACACGGGGUCGGCAGAUGGAAAUGGAUGCAGCUUUUUAGGAGCUUCUUGGACAUCCGCCUGGCUUUUAAAUGUGCUUAUUCUUGAUUCUGUAAUUCCACUUCCAGGAACUUAUUCUAAAUAACUAAUAGAUACAUAUGCAAAGAUGGAUAAGUGAAGACAUGCAUUGCAACAUGGCUCAUUGCAGAAAGUAACUACACAGAAUGAUCUAGACCCAUCCAUAAGGGGUUUGUGAAAUGGAUGGUGGUGCAUCCACGCAGACCUCUCUGUCCUCCUCACUGUGUCCCCAGCUCCCAGCACAUGGUUCCAGCACACAGCACGUGGUUCGUAAACGUUUGCCCAAAGAGUGAGUACAACAGUGCACCGUGCAGCCAUGAAAAGGAACAAAGCAGUGUGUCCCAACGCAGAAGGAUGGCCACAAAAUACCACCGGGUGGAAAAAGUGGUUAUAAAGCUAAAUGCCAAGGGCUGCCCAUUUACAUGACAAUACAUUCAGAAAGAUGAUGCUCUAAACCUAAGUACUGGGAUCACUGUGAUGAUUCCAUUCAUUCAUUCAUUCAUUCAUUCAUUCAUUCAUUGUGACAGAGCCUCGCUCUGUCGCCCAGGCUGGAGUGCAGUGGCGCGAUCUCAGCUCGCAGCAACCUCCACCUCCGGGGGGGUUCCAGUGAUUGUCCUGCCUCAGCCUCUUAAGUAGCUGGGAUGACAGGCGCCCACCACCACGCUCAGCUAAUUUUUUGUAUUUUUAGCAGAGACGGGGUUUCACCAUGUUGGCCAGGCUGGUCUCGAACUCCUGACCUCAGGUGAUCCGCCCACCUCGGCCUCCACUCCCUUUGUAACCUGGUGCCGGUGAAGUCCUUGAGUGCUGCACCCUUGGCUUCCUUUCCCCACACACCGUGGUUUUUAACUGCGCCAUUCUGCCUGCGUGGUGGUUUCUAGGGACGCCGAUAUCACGUUUUGGCAGAACCGACUAUACCUGCUGUGUGCGGCAUGCAGUUUGUCCAGAGCAUACAGCGAGACCUCUCUGAAGACCCCCAAAUGGCCUCGACCCCGGCUUUUGAGGGAGGGCUGGACAGCUCAGCCUCCCGUUUCCUGCGCACGCACCCCGAUGCUGCAAGCUGCCAUCUGGGAGGCUUGGUAUUCGGGUUAGAGACAAACAGCGCCCGACGGUAAUGGUCCUCGAGCCCAACUCUGCCGACCCACGCAUUCAGUUUAGUCCUCUUAAUGCAGAUCUAGAAAUGGUUUUUCACUGAAGAGAAAACUACAGAAACUUCUGCCACCACAGGACCAGGACUUGAUCACAAGCAAGAAAAGCUAAGUCUGAAACUGGUAACUUUUCCAAACCAAAGACCAAAGCAUGCCAGGAUUCCCUCAGAGGGGCUUUGGUGGCUGGUGUGGCAAUAGCCUUCUUUUUCUUUUUUUCUCUUUU